UGCAGUCGAACGAACCUUUUAGGUGAGUGGCGCACGGGUGCGUAACACGUGGGAAUAUACACUUCGGUAAGGAAUAACACAGAGAAAUUUGUGCUAAUACCUUAUAAUGACUCCGGUCCAAAGAUUUAUCGCCGAAGGAUUAGCCCGCGCUAGAUUAGUUUGUUGGUGAGGUAAAGGCUCACCAAGACUACGAUCUAUAGCUGGUCUUAGAGGAUGAUCAGCCACACUGGAACUGAGACACGGUCCAGACUCCUACGGGAGGCAGCAGUGAGGAAUAUUGCGCAAUGGAGGAAACUCUGACGCAGCCAUGCCGCGUGAAUGAAGAAGGCCCUAGGGUUGUAAAAUUCUUUCAGAUGCGAAGAUAAUGACGGUACCAUCAGAAGAAGCUCCGGCUAAAUUCGUGCCAGCAGCCGCGGGUAAUACGAAUGGAGCGAGCGUUGUUCGGAAUCAUUGGGCGUAAAGCGUAUGUAGGCGGACUAGAAAGUCAGAAGUGAAAUCCC
rnacentral:rRNA from 1 species